UAUUUAUUGCUUGCACUACCGGCUAAAUUUCCUGAAAUGAAACUUCAUUGUUCAUUGUUUAUUCAUAUCCCACAGUUCUCAUUAUGUCUGCAUCAGUUCCAAAAUGAAGGACUCUCCCAUGGUUGGUAUAUCUCCUUCAAAAAAACCUCAAUCCAUGGUUCUGUACAUUAUCAUUAUUUUAUUACAGUAAUUUUAAAGAUAUUAACACUUCAGACAAUCUUUUGGAAGUGAUUCUAACUUGGUUGCAGUUUAAAAGGAAUCCUUUCAGGUAAAAAUCACUCAUCACAGUGCUGAUGAAUUACGGUAGAUGAAGUGCACUUCUACCCAUGCAAAAAGUUAGGAAUUCAAACUUAUUUUCUCACUAGACUGAGACCAGCUCAAUGCAAACUUUGGAAGCACUUGAGAACACAUCAUGGGAAUUUCACAGGUAGAGUGCAACUUGGUUGGAAGGAUUGGAAUAAUAUAAUAACAAAUUAUACUUCAAAUACAAAUUCAAGAAUCCUGAAUUCCUGAUGCCUCUUACCAAGAUACCCAUAGACUGAGAGAAAAAAAGAAGGUGAAAUGUUCACCUCAGUGUAUGGAACGUCUUCUGUUCAAGAAUUCCUUCCUUUCUGAGAAACUUUUUUUUCUUCCAGAGAAACUUGCUUUUUCUGAGAGCAACGUUCGGAACUGGAGAAAACUAUUUUAUUGUUGGAAAAUAUGCCAUUCUGUCAAACUGUUGAUUAUCACAUUGAUUACCUUCAUUCUAUUGUUAUUUACUAUAUCUACAUGAUACUAUCGAAGCGUCAGAAAUCGCGGGAAUAUUGUGUUGGGGUCACGCGUCUUGCUAGACCCUCGUUCAAGUGUAGUUCUUUGUCAUGGCAGAUUUGCUCCAAGCCAUCCACAAUUUUGAGAAAAGUAAGUACUCAAGCAUCGAUGUAGCUCGGCAUCGCCAAUUCAUGACUUGAUUAAAAAAUACAAAACUGUGACCUGUCGUAGGGCAUCUUACGCCAAAAUAAAAUAAUUUAAAUGAAUGCACAUAGGUAAGUACAUAACCUCGGAGAUUCUCUCACCAAAAUCCCUUACCUCCCCCAGACUAUAAAAAAACAAUAUGGCCACCGAUCCAAUUCAAAGUACACUUUGAAGGGAUUUUUUUUUAAUGCGGAACAGGGUGGAUCGUAGUGGAAUGCACUGGAUCGGAAUCCUGAGCGAUCCAAAGUGUUCCAAGUGAUAAAAAAAUCCUAUCUUGGAAUUUGGUUUGAUUUGUUGGGGACGGCAAGUUCCUUGCAUAAGAUCACAUUGGAUCGCGAGCUCGCCCCACCUCGGAAGAGCGAUCCAGCGUUCCACCCUGAUAAACAUGGAGCGCGGCUGAGGAACGGAAUAAAAAAAUACCGAUGUUCAUCACGGUCCACCUCGUUCGACUGCGAUCCGCAUAAAAAAAAGCCCUAUAAAAUCAAAAUGGAAUCAAAGAAUCAAUUGUCAAAUAACAAGAAAUACCGUUCAACAUGGCAAUAAUGGGGUUUCAUAACCUCCAAAAAUAAAGAAUAAAAAUAUUCGUUUCUAUCGGUAUUUUCUCACUCAGAAAAAAAGUUUUUCUCAGUAGAAAAGUUUUCUUUUGGAAGAAAAGCAUUUUUCUUGGGAGUAAAAAAUUUCUCUCAAAAAUAAAACUCUUCUCUCCAAAGAAAAAGUUUCUCCUGGGAAAAAAAAAAUUUCUCUCAGGAAAACGAAUUUGAGAACAGAAAAGGUUCUACAUCAGUGCAUCCUGAAAAUAGAAUCAUCUUAACACGAGAACGGACCAGGGAUAACCUCAAAUUAGAACAGCCGUAACGAAUAUACUAUGACUGGGCAAUAAUUCAAUUACAUUCAUUUUGAAGGUAAUCUGGAUGGCUUGGAUACAGAAAGGCAUCUUCUCCUUCACAUAUUAUUACCGUUUAAUGAUGUAUGACCAUUAUUUGUCACUAGGAGCAAAUAUGAAGUUGUUACAAAGCAGGAAAUAAAGCUGUCAAAUGAUUGCAAACUAAAGGAAUUAGAACUUAAAUAAAGCUGAGUUGUCAUAGAAU